GACAGAGGGUGCGAACGUUGUUCGGAAUCAUUGGGCGUAAAGCGCACGUAGGCGGCUUUGCAAGUCGGACGUGAAAUCCCUCAGCUCAACUGAGGACGUGCAUCCGAAACUGCAAGGCUUGAGUACUGAAGAGGAUCGCGGAAUUCCCGGUGUAGAGGUGAAAUUCGUAGAUAUCGGGAGGAACACCAGUGGCGAAGGCGGCGAUCUGGGCAGAUACUGACGCUGAGGUGCGAAAGCGUGGGGAGCAAACGGG
rnacentral:rRNA from 1 species